AUAGGACAUCUGUCGGCUUAUGGUUAGCCGGUGUUUUAAAAGAAGUUGAGCUUCAUGAUUUUUAUAAUUCCAGUGUCUGAUAGAAUGGAGAAUCUUGGAUUGAAUUUUAAAUGAAGUAUAUUAGUGCUGUAACUGGAUGAAAAAAAAAAAUAGAACUUUGUUUUUUCGUGACACUUUACUGUUAUAUAGGUAUAAGAGAAGAUAUUCAUACUUGGAAGAAAAUUUUAGAAAAAUGUAUUUUGCCUUUUAAAGUAUAAACAGGCGCAUUAGUUUGUUAACACAGACAUUAGUUUCUAUGACAUUAACAGGCGCAGUAGUUUGUUCAUGUAUGUUUAAUUUUGUUUUAUUUGUAUGAUAAGAGGAUUACGUACGUAUGAAUAUUGUGAACAGAAUAUUUUUAAAUGUAUCAGUUGUCAGAGUUGACAAGACCAUAUUUCGAGGACGAAAUGUAUUCUGGGGGAGGGGCAGUGUUGUAAAUGUGUAUAUUGGUUAUUUCCAAGUAAAGGAAUAUUGUUAUUAUUGUAUUAAGAGAGUUUAUAUAAGUUGUCAGAAGUUAUUUCUAGUAUUUAGUAUAUUGAAUGAGUAAUUAACGUACGUUUUACUUUAUGUUAUUAGCUGUAUCGAUAACGUCGUAUAUGGCGCAACUUUGUCAUGUAUUGUUCAGAACGUUACCGUUGGGUCAAUAUUUUAAGCGUGAACCCAAAAGUGUACAUUUAUGAGUUCUUAACUGGAAGAAUUAAUAUGUCUAGAUAUGUUUAUUUAUAAGAGUGUUUGAUUAUAAGCAUUUUGAGUCGAGGACUCCUAUAUUUUAUGUAAGCGUUUUACGUUAUGUUACGUUAUGUUUUUCUUCCUGCUUAGAAUAUUUACUUCCGGUAAUUUGAAAUAAAUACCAGUGCAACGUCACGUUCGUCAGUCUUUGCUGUGUUUACUUUUGGCUUGCAGCAAGGCUCAUCCCGGGGGUUCCUAGAGGUAAGAAGCAGCGCAUUAGCUGUAUGCCUCGCAUUUUAUAUUACAAGUAAGGGUUAUAAUUU
rnacentral:lncRNA from 1 species